GUAAAAACGUUAUCUCGUCAUUUCCUUACAUGGCGACUGAGGAAGACGAAAGGGCUUUGUUAAACACGUACCCUUGUCUUGCUUUCCUGUCGGUUCUGCAACACUCGAAACGUUCACUGUGGAAUAUGUUGUUCCCAAUUGGUUCUCAAGCAAUAAGCUCCUAUAGGCAAACCUGUCCUCACACACAUUUGUGAAGUCAUGAUGAGCCAUCUGGUUGAGCGGCUAGUGCCAUGUUUAAAGUCCAAAAGCAUGAAAACCCUCAAGCCAUGAAGUCAACAGAAAGAAGUUGGGAAGAGCCAUGGAGGUUUUGGUAAUAGCUUCAGUGGCUGUGCAACAGACAAGCUCGUCUUUGGACAAGGAACCCAAGUGAUUGUGGAACCAAAAAUUCAGCCUCCA